GACAGAGGUGGCAAGCGUUGUUCGGAAUCACUGGGCUUAAAGCGCGUGUAGGCGGCUCGGUAAGUGCCUUGUGAAAUCCCCCGGCUCAACCGGGGAAUUGCUUGGUAUACUGCCGGGCUUGAGGCAGGUAGGGGCGAGUGGAACUCAUGGUGGAGCGGUGGAAUGCGUAGAUAUCAUGAGGAACGCCGGAGGUGAAAACGACUCGCUGGGCCUGUCCUGACGCUGAGACGCGAAAGCCAGGGGAG
rnacentral:rRNA from 1 species